UAAUAUUUAACGAAAACAACGUAGGAUCAGCCUUUCACUAUUUUGUUAAAUGUCCUCGAUAUGCUGUUCAAAGAUCUGUUCUUUUUUCUUCUGCUAUCCAAACAUUAGGGAACACUAGCUUUGUUAUCCAGCAGUGAGUUAGGCAAAUUAGAGCUGUUUUGUAUGGCUCAAGGGAUCUCUCGAUUGACGCAAAUCAAAAACUUUUUGCAGCUGUUCAAAUAAGUACUAGUUAAAACAUGAGCAGCCGAUCUUUAUAUCUGAUAUAUAGAC